rnacentral:lncRNA from 1 species
GCGGGUCCGGGCGCGCCCCGCCCGCGGCGUUCCCAGGAUUGCGGCCGGGGGGGCCCCAAAGGUCCCCAAAGCGUCUCCAAAAUGUCCCCAGAAUGUCCCCAGAAUGUCCCCAAAAUGUCCCCAAAAAUGUCCCCAAAGCGUCUCCAAAAUGUCCCUAAAAUGUCCCCAAAAAUGUCCCCAAAGCGUCCACAAAAUGUCCCUAAAAUUUCCCCAAAAUGUCCCCAAAGUGUCCCCAAAAAUGUCCCCAAAGCGUCUGCAAAAUGUCCCCAAAAUGUCCCUAAAAUUUCCCCAAAAAUGUCCCCAAAGCGUCCACAAAAUGUCCCCAAAAAUGUCCCCAAAAUGUCCCCAAAAAUGUCCCCAAAAUGUCCCCAAAAAUGUCCCCAAAAUGUCCCAAAAAUGUCCCCAAAAUGUCCCCAAAAUGUCCCUAAAAUGUCCCAAAAAUGUCCCCAAAAUGUCCCCAAAAUGUCCCCAAAAUGUCCCCAAAAAUGUCCCCAAAAAUGUCCCCAAAAUGUCCCCAAAAAUGUCCCCAAAAAUGUCCCCAAAGCGUCUCCAAAAUGUCCCCAAAAUGUCCCCAAAAAUGUCCCCAAAAUGUCCCCAAAAUGUCCCCAAAUGUCCCCAAGUCCCCCCCAAAAUGUCCCCAAAAAUGUCCCAAAAAUGUCCCCAAAUGUCCCCAAAAUGUCCCCAAAGCAUCCCCAAAAUGUCCCUAAAAUGUCCCCAAAAUGUCCCCAAAAUGUCCCCAAAGUGUCCCCAAAAAUGUCCCCAAAAGCGUCCCCAAAAUGUCCCCAAAAAUGUCCCCAAAAUGUCCCCAAAAUGUCCCCAAAAAUGUCCCCAAAACGUCCCCAAAAAUGUCCCCAAAAAUGUCCCCAAAAAUGUCCCCAAAGCGUUCCCCAAAAUGUCCCCAAAGCGUCCCCAAAAUGUCCCCAAAAUGUCCCUAAAAAUGUCCCCAGAAUGUCCCCAAAAUGUCCCCAAAAAAUGUCCCCAAAGGGUCUCCCAAAAUGUCCCCAAAAUGUCCCCAAAGCGUCCACAAAAUGUCCCCAAAAUGUCCCCAAAAUGUCCCCAAAAUGUCCCCAAAAUGUCCCCCAAAAUGUCCCCAAAAAUGUCCCCAAAAGCCCCCCAAAAUGUCCCCAAAGCGUCCCCAAAAUGUCCCCAAAAUGUCCCCCAAAAUGUCCCCAAAAUGUCCCCAAAAUGUCCC